AUUGUAUUCCCUCCGUCUCAAAAUUUUUGUCUUAGAUUUGUUUAAAUAUGAAUGUAUCAAGUCAUGUUUUAGUAUUAGAUACAUUUGUAUCUAGACUAAUCUAAGACAAAAAUUUUAGGACGAAGGGAGUAUAAA
rnacentral:pre_miRNA from 1 species